rnacentral:rRNA from 1 species
CCCUUAGAUGUUCUGGGCCGCACGCGCGCUACACUGAUGCAUUCAACGAGUCUAAAACCUGCUCUGAUAGGGGUGGGUAAUCUUUUGAAUGUGCAUCGUGAUUGGGAUAGAUGAUUGCAAUCUUUCAUCUUCAACGAGGAAUGCCUAGUAAACGCAAGUCAUCAGCUUGCAUUGAUUACGUCCCUGCCCUUUGUACACACCGCCCGUCGCUCCUACCGAUUGAAUGAUCCGAUGAAUAUCAUGGAUUGAGGAUGCAAGUAGGUUCGCCUAUCUUCAUCUUCGAGAAGUGAAGUAAAUCUUAUCAUUUAGAGGAAGGAGAAGUCGUAACA